GGCAUUAUUUCCACUGCAGCACGGUUGCUGAGUGGGGUGCAUUCCCGCCCUGAGCCUUCAUGCCCACCAGCCGUGGCACGAACAGAGGCUGAGGGUGGUUUGUAAUGCUGGGCUGUACGCUGCCUGCAGAAUCAGUGUGGGCAGCGCUGAUCAGUGCUGCCUGUCCUGGUGAGGAGGGUGCUGACUACAGAAGAAAUGGUAGAAUGCGGAUUGUCUGUUCUAGCUCCCUGUGUUCAUGCAGAGAAAAUUGAAAUCUAGCCUUCUCCUCCACGGUGAAAAAGCAGUUCUCAAUGGUAUCUGUAUUUUUUUGUCUUUUUUCUCCUCGGAGUAUGUAGUGUAGUUGAUCCCCAGAAACUUCUUAGGGGCAAUUAAAGUGAGUCAGACUGUGGGAGAAUUUGUUGUGCUGAACCUUGUAUUUCUCUUUCUACCCAGCUGAGUCAGAGGAACUGAUUAGUGAAGAGUCUGAAGACAUUUCGGAAGCAGUUAGAAAGUGAAGCAGGAAAGCUUGAGACAACAAAAUAUGCCUUUAUUCCAAAGACCUUCAAAAUGCCUUCAGAGUACCAUUUGUUUGUGGAAGAGUUUAGCAAGAAUCUGGCAUCGCUUGCAUUAUGAAACCCAAAUCACAACAAUACAACGUGAUGCUGAAAAAUGCCUUGCUUCUGCCAGAUGAUUCAAGCCAUUUAACAUCAUGAGUAUCGUGCUGUGGUGCCUAAUUAAAAAUACACCCAUCUGUGAGACCUGCAAGCGAGCAGUCACUUUGCUUCGCGCAGCAGGUCUCGCGAGGAGGCUGGGACAGGAGGAUUCGCCUUACCCUGCAAGUCAGGCCUGUCGGUAAGGGCACACUUGUGAGAAGUGAAUGAGAGGUAAUUAUGCAAACUAACGUGAAUUACAGCCAGGAGGAUAGCAGCUAGUGAUUAUCUAACUCUACAAAUGGGGAUGUGUUAAUUGGCAACAAAAAACCUUAUAUUAAGCUGAUUUUAUGCCCACAACCUCAAUUAACAUGGUAAAUAACCAGAACACAGUAAACAAGGGUAUAUGAAAAACUGUGAUUACUGAAAUUAUACCAACAACUUAAACGAAAUAGUUUGUGGCUGACCUCAAAACUCACAGACAAGUAAAAAUAAACUCCAUGUUACUCCUUCUGUUGGUCUGUGCUCUUGAGCAGCCCUGGUUUGUGAUGUCUCAGGUUGCCUACUCCCACACUCAGAUGCAGUAGUAGGUCAGGACGUGCACAGUGCCAGAUCGUGGGGCUGCAGGAGUCUGGGCCUCCUUUGGAAGGUGCCCUGGGGAGCCUUGCUUCUUGGGUGGCUUAUCUGGGCCACUUGUCACCCCCUUUUCAUACAUCAUGCAGCCUAGGCUGUCUUCAGGAUUUUUCUGCUCUUGCUUGCUAUAGUUCUAUGACAUCUUUCACGACUUCC
rnacentral:lncRNA from 1 species